rnacentral:rRNA from 1 species
AGUGAACGCUGGCGGUAGGCCUAACACAUGCAAGUCGAACGGCAGCACAGUAAGAUCUUGCUCUUACGGGUGGCGAGUGGCGGACGGGUGAGGAAUACAUCGGAAUCUACUUUUUCGUGGGGGAUAACGUAGGGAAACUUACGCUAAUACCGCAUACGACCUACGGGUGAAAGCAGGGGAUCUUCGGACCUUGCGCGAUUGAAUGAGCCGAUGUCGGAUUAGCUAGUUGGCGGGGUAAAGGCCCACCAAGGCGACGAUCCGUAGCUGGUCUGAGAGGGUGAGCGGCAAAAUGGGGACGGAGAGACGGCCCAGAAUCCUAAGGGAGGAAGAAGUGGGGAAUAUUGCACAAUGGGUGGAAGCCGGAAGCAGCAACGCAGCGUGCUGGAUGACGGCCUUCGGGUUGGAAACAGCUUUCGCCUGGGACGAAGCGUGAGUGAAGGUAAUGGGUAAAGAAGCACCGGCUAACUACGUG